AAUACGUAGGGCGCAAGCGUUGUCCGGAAUUAUUGGGCGUAAAGAGCUCGUAGGCGGCUUGUCACGUCGGGUGUGAAAGCCCGGGGCUUAACCCCGGGUCUGCAUUCGAUACGGGCUAGCUAGAGUGUGGUAGGGGAGAUCGGAAUUCCUGGUGUAGCGGUGAAAUGCGCAGAUAUCAGGAGGAACACCGGUGGCGAAGGCGGAUCUCUGGGCCAUUACUGACGCUGAGGAGCGAAAGCGUGGGGAGCGAACAG
rnacentral:rRNA from 1 species